rnacentral:rRNA from 1 species
ACUCCUACGGGAGGCAGCAGUAGGGAAUCUUCCGCAAUGGACGAAAGUCUGACGGAGCAACGCCGCGUGAGUGAUGAAGGCUUUCGGGUCGUAAAACUCUGUUGUUAGGGAAGAACAAGUGCUAGUUGAAUAAGCUGGCACCUUGACGGUACCUAACCAGAAAGCCACGGCUAACUACGUGCCAGCAGCCGCGGUAAUACGUAGGUGGCAAGCGUUAUCCGGAAUUAUUGGGCGUAAAGCGCGCGCAGGUGGUUUCUUAAGUCUGAUGUGAAAGCCCACGGCUCAACCGUGGAGGGUCAUUGGAAACUGGGAGACUUGAGUGCAGAAGAGGAAAGUGGAAUUCCAUGUGUAGCGGUGAAAUGCGUAGAGAUAUGGAGGAACACCAGUGGCGAAGGCGACUCUCUGGUCUGUAACUGACACUGAGGCGCGAAAGCGUGGGGAGCAAACAGGAUUAGAUACCCUGGUAGUCCACGCCGUAAACGAUGAGUGCUAAGUGUUAGAGGGUUUCCGCCCUUUAGUGCUGAAGUUAACGCAUUAAGCACUCCGCCUGGGGAGUACGGCCGCAAGGCUGAAACUCAAAGGAAUUGACGG